GCCGUAGCUCAGUGGUAGAGCAUCUGCUUUGCAUGCAGAAGGCUGCAGGUUCAAUCCCCGGCUUCUCCA
rnacentral:tRNA from 1 species